GGGAGGAGGGGCUACGGGGCGGGGCGAGGGCGCGGUAAAUGGCGCUCUGAGUACUUUCUGUCUCAGUCCGGCUGGCCGCUCACGCGUCGGGCCCCCAUUUACUCUCGUUACUGAGGAGACACGGCUCCAGUUUUGACCCGACUACGGUUGUUUUCUUCGUGUGUACCGCGAAAUGCUGAUGACGUCCGGUUCCGCGCAGUUUUUUUCCUAUUUCGUUUCCAACCACAGUUGUGCGGUUCACAGAUUUUUCCCUUGGGAUGUGUUUUCCAUACCUCCAAGCCCACUCUCAGAGCCUUGGGGCCCCAUAAAACUUCAUGCGCAGCUGCUUUCUGGUAUUUGCAGACCUGGAAGGCUUCUCGUAUUCUUAAUUUGGGGAAGAGAGACAUAGGUUUCCUUGUACAACGGGAUGAGGAUUUAAGAGCAGAACGACACUGAUAUUUUAAAGGCGAGGGUAUUUAGAUUUGUGGAGCUGAAACUUGCCUGAAAAGGGAGACAAAAUUUGGAAGUUUGUUGUGUGCAGUUUCUGCCCCUUACCCCCGCCCUUCACUUUUAAACUGCGCAUAUAUCAACAAUAGUUACGGUUGUUGCAGCAGUCUAAAUUUGAUUAUCAGAAUUGACCCUAGGCAUGAAUUUUUUUUUAAAUAUACCAAUGUCGUGUUAUAUACACUUAUACCAUUAUGUCCAGACUUCUCUUAAGCAUAGUUCGUGGUGGGCAGUUUUGUGGUCAUUUAGGGAUGAACUUGGGUAGGGAAAGCUGAGCAUACAUAAUUUAUUUUAGGAAUGCACCAGUUCUGCCAACAUUUAUCAGAAGUCACGUUUUUAAAAAGCUAUUCUGGAACUGAAGAUGUCAUUGGUUUAUAAGAGGAAAAUGGAAGCCAAAAGCUUACACCUCAUGCUCUAUCUUUAAAAAUUAAGGUGGCAGACACAAUGAGUAGAAGGCUUUUAUGUUACCAGAAUGAAGGCUUAAAAUCUGUCAUUUUAUUGACUCGGCUUUCUUUUUAGAAAUUUCUUUAAGAUAUAAAAGCAAUGUGGAAUAUCACUCUUUCACACUCUUAAAAUAGAUUACGUUCUCUGGAACUUCUCUAAUCUGAAAUGUGUUCAAAAAGGAAAAAGAUCUUUAAAAUACGCCAGUUAGUCUAUGGUAUAAUAUUAAACACUAUUCAUCACUAGAGAAGUUAUGGUGGUAUACCCUCCCCUUUCUCAGAUGUCCACCUUAAUGCCAGAAAUGAGCGGAGUUUCCCUUUGUUGUGCAAAAUGACUGUGUCCUUGAGGGAUGUUUGGAUGCUCUUGGUAAACCGGAAUCAGCCAGAAGCAUAUCCGGUGUUAGCCUUGUUGUGUCAUCAACAUUACAACAGUGAGGAAACCCACAUAUUCCAAUGAAAGAGGAAAACUUAAAGAAGAAGUUUCCAGUGUAUUUUCUUUGAGAUAUAUUUAUUCCUAUGACCUCAGAAGAUCAGCUUUUACCGUCCAAGGUUCACUUUGCCUAAAAGCUGAUUGUUCCUGUGGAAACAGUAGCAUCGGAUGACCCUACAAACAAAGCAUUAUGACAUCAUCAGAGCCAACAACCUGGCAUGACAGAUACUAAUAAGGAAAAAAGAGGUUACAAGAAUUCUGACACUCAUCACAGUGGAUCCAAUAUCUGGUCCCUUGGGUUUCAUAUAUGUUAGAAGUAUCUUCUCAGGAGGGAAAAGUCAAUGCCAGUCAUAUCCUUUCUAGCUAUUAGAAAUGUCCAUCAGCUUACGAGGAGAUUCUCCCUCAUCUCACAAACUACCUGCAUCUCCACUUCCCUGGAAGAAAAAAAAAAUCUGGACAUACCCAAGCUGUGUAUGUGCCUGAGAUCUUCCCUUCCAAGUGAUUUAUUAAACUGGGAAGUCAGAAGCAGUCCUGUGAACAUUUGUUUGUUGAAGCAUGAAAAGGCAGAAUUGAUGAGUCCUUGCUUGAGUCUAUGCCUCCACCCAGUAGUUUGUUCUUAGUCUCCUAGGGGCUGAUCUCAGCAGAGAAAUGGAGACAGUUCAGUCACCAACAGUUUGUUACUGGAUUUUGGAAAAGGUACCAAAGUAAGAAUCCAAGGCUUGUAUUCUUAUCUUAGCUCUGUGAUUAACAAGCUUAGGUAAGGCUUCUAAUCUUUCUGGGUUUCUUUCCUUAUCAAUAAAAUGCGCAAGUCAGACUGCAUAAUCUUUAUGGUUUCUUCCAAAUUUCAAAUUCCAUGCAUCUAUUAAAGAGAAUCAAAAUUGUGCAUGAUUUGUCUAAAAUACCAUGUUAAAAAGUCUAAGAUAAAAUGAAAUGGGAAUUACAUACCAUUUUGAGUUUAAAAAUCACUUUUGUAAAUAUAUUAAGGAAUGAACUUGGUUUUAUUGCAAUUUAUGUAGAAAUACUGGGAAGUAGAGGGGGCUUUGAUUAACAAUUUUAAAAUGCUGAUGCAAUCCAGUCGAAAUAUAGAUGGGAUUUCAUAAAGUAGCAAAAAUUCUAUAUUCAUAAUUCAGAGUGAUAACAAAUGCAUAUCUAUAAAGCAAAAGUGUGUUUUUAAAAGUAAUUUUAAAUCCCAGUCAUUUCAUUUAAGUCUUCUAAUAAAGGAUGAAGAAGAUGAACAAAAUAAC
rnacentral:lncRNA from 1 species